GAUUCUGGAGCCUUCCACCUAAGGGGCUCUUUUUGGGCAGCUGAAGUGUUUCCCUGCAGUUUGAUCUGGAUUUCAGGGAAAGCAGAUGAAGAGAGGGAUUGGAAGCAAACCAUUCUUAAGAGGCUAUCCAGGAGUGGUGCCGAAGGGACUGUCUGGGGCUCUCUUCUUCGAUUAGAGAGAGAAGACGGAAAAAUAGGUUUCGUGGAUCUGUGAACACGGAGAUCCGCAGAUCCUGCCGCGAUACGAGGAGCAGAUACUUCAGUGGGGUAGAAAAUAAGCAGACCAAAGAUGACGGAAAGACCGGGACUUGUACUCGGGGAUCACACCC